rnacentral:rRNA from 1 species
UGAAGUUAAAGGCUGUGGNUCAACCAUAGUUCGCUUUGGAAACUGUCAAACUNGAGUGCAGAAGGGGAGAGUGGAAUUCCAUGUGUAGCGGUGAAAUGCGUAGAUAUAUGGAGGAACACCGGUGGCGAAAGCGGCUCUNUGGUCUGUAACUGACGCUGAGGCUCGAAAGCGUGGGGAGCGAACAGGAUUAGAUACCCUGGUAGUNCACGCCGUAAACGAUGAGUGCUAGGUGUUGGAUCCUUUCCGGGAUUCAGUGCCGCAGCUAACGCAUUAAGCACUCCGCCUGGGGAGUACGACCGCAAGGUUGAAACUCAAAGGAAUUGACGGGGGCCCGCACAAGCGGUGGAGCAUGUGGUUUAAUUCGAAGCAACGCGAAGAACCUUACCAGGUCUUGACAUCCCGAUGCUAUUUCUAGAGAUAGGAAGUUACUUCGAUACAUCGGUGACAGGUGGUGCAUGGUUGUCGUCAGCUCGUGUCGUGAGAUGUUGGGUUAAGUCCCGCAACGAGCGCGACCCCUAUUGUUAGUUGCCAUCAUUCAGUUGGGCACUCUUGCAAGACUGCCGGUAAUAAACCGGAGGAAGGUGGGGAUGACGUCAAAUCAUCAUGCCCCUUAUGACCUGGGCUACACACGUGCUACAAUGGUUGGUACAACGAGUUGCGAGUCGGUGACGGCGAGCUAAUCUCUUAAAGCCAAUCUCAGUUCGGAUUGUAGGCUGCAACUCGCCUACAUGAAGUCGGAAUCGCUAGUAAUCGCGGAUCAGCACGCCGCGGUGAAUACGUUCCCGGGCCUUGUACACACCGCCCGUCACACCACGAGAGUUUGUAACACCCGAAGUCGGUGAGGUANCCUUA